GGACCUGAGGGCGAUCUGGCUGCGACAUCUGUCACCCCAUUGAUCGCCAGGGUUGAUUCGGCUGAUCUGGCUGGCUACGCGGGUGUCCCCUUCCUCUCUCAUCGCUCCAUGUGCGUCCCUCCCAAAGCUGCGCACUGGGUGGAAGAGGACGACCAUCCCAGUAGAAAAUAUUCACAGGU